rnacentral:misc_RNA from 1 species
GAUGAAGAACGUAGCGAAAUACGAUACUUGGUGUGAAUUGCAGAAUCCCGUGAACCAUCGAGUCUUUGAACGCAAGUUGCGCCUCAAGCCAUUAGGUUGAGGGCACGUCUGCCUGGGCGUCACAUAUCGUUGCCUGAUGCCAGUUUCCUCGUGAUGGGUGACUGUGCAGGGCGAAUGAUGGCUUCCCGUGAGCAUUGUUGCCUCAUGGUUGGUUGAAAAUUGAGUCCUUGGUAGGGAGCGCCGUGAUAGAUGGUGGUUGAGUGACGAACGAGACCCAAUCAUGUGAGACCCCUACCGAAUUUGGCCUUCAUGACCCACAUGCGUCUUUGGAACGCUCAUGACGAGACCUCAGGUCAGGCGGGGCUACCCGCUGAGUUUAAGCAUAUCAAUAAGCGGAGGA